UGGCCAAGAAGAGCGUCGGGGACCUCACGGAGGCCGACCUCGAGGGGAAGCGCGUCUUCGUGCGCGCCGACCUCAACGUGCCGCUCGACGAGAACCAGAACAUCACCGACGACACCCGCGUCCGCGCCGCCGUCCCCACCAUCCAGUACCUCAUCGGCAAGGGCGCCAAGGUCAUCCUCUCCAGCCACUUGGUGAGUCUCCGGCCUUCCCGUCUCACAUCUGAUUUGGUGAAGCCGUGCUCUUGGCACGCACAGACAAUGCAGGAACUCAGGACUCGUGGAAUCCGGGCGUUUGUGAUCAUGUGAUUUGCUUUGGUCAAGUAAUAUAUGGACACUGGCUAUUAGUCGUGAUUUUGCUUCCUGUGUUAUACUAUACCGUUUCUGGGCACAAAUUGGGCAUUGCUACAAAGGUGGAAGAGAUGUUUUAGAAACAAGAGUUUAGUUACAAAAGGAAAAAGUAUGAUAUUUUAAUUCAGCGCCUGCUUGUAACUUUAAUCUUAGAAAUUUGGUAUCUGACUGCUGCUCUUCGGGUACACACACAAUGUAGGAGCCAAGGACUUGUAGAAUGAUAUUGUUCAAUUAUGUGAAUUGUUUAUGCACACUGGCUAUUAGUUGCAAAUUUGCCUUUUGUGUUGAUUGAGUUUCUCUGAAAGAUUGCUGGACUAAGAUAUUAGUUCAGAGACAGCUGCUUAUAUUGCUUAAUUCAUCCAAUUUUGAUCGCAUCCCCCUUUUCUUUUGGAUGUGCAGGGUCGCCCUAAGGGUGUUACUCCCAAGUUUAGCUUAGCUCCCAUUGUGCCACGGCUGUCUGAGCUUCUUGGCAUUCAGGUAUUCAUUUCUUCUACAUCAUUGGUACUUCAAACUGACUCAGAUGUAGUAUUUGCUAAUUGAUUGUACUCAUUAAACCAUGUCUGCACUCGCAAAUAGGUGCAAAAAGCUGACGAUGUUAUUGGCCCUGAAGUUGAGAAAUUGGUGUCUGCCUUGCCCAACGGCGGUGUUUUGCUCCUUGAGAACGUAAGAUUUUACAAGGAAGAGGAAAAGAAUGACCCAGAGUUUGCUCAGAAGCUUGCCUCCCUAGCAGAUCUUUAUGUUAAUGAUGCAUUCGGAACAGCCCACAGGGCACAUGCAUCAACUGAGGGAGUUACCAAGUUCUUGAAGCCUUCUGUUGCAGGGUUCCUUUUGCAGAAGGUUAACUUUCUUUUCUAUGUUUAUAUUCCAUUCUUGAACUCACAGACACUAUGAAAGGCGGUAUUAAAAGAAAAAUGCUAUCUAAAGUAUAAAUUUUAAAAUAUUUUUUCUUCUCCUCCUCAAGCUCAAUCUGAACCUUUACAAAAUGUAUUCACAGGAGCUUGACUACCUUGUUGGAGCUGUUUCGAGCCCUAAACGUCCAUUUGCUGCCAUCGUGGGUGGCUCAAAGGUGUCAUCCAAGAUCGGGGUUAUUGAGUCCCUAUUGGAAAAGUGUGAUAUCCUACUUUUGGGCGGUGGUAUGAUCUUCACAUUUUACAAGGCACAAGGACUCUCUGUUGGUGCUUCAUUGGUUGAGGAAGACAAACUUGAGCUCGCGACAUCUCUCCUUGCAAAGGCAAAGGAAAAGGGUGUCUCCCUUAUGUUGCCAACCGAUGUUGUCAUUGCUGAUAAGUUUGCCCCUGAUGCUAACAGCCAGGUUUGUUGCAUCUUGUCCAUUCCUAUUCAGCAGACUUUUUGUAUUGAAGUGAAGCAUCUCUUAAUUCUGCAUAGGGAGAAACUUGACCAUAAAUUUUUUCUACAGAUUGUUCCAGCAUCUGCGAUUCCUGAUGGUUGGAUGGGGCUGGACAUUGGUCCAGAUUCUGUUGCUUCGUUCAAUGCAGCCCUGGAUACAACCCAGACAGUCAUCUGGAAUGGGCCCAUGGGUGUUUUUGAAUUCGACAAGUUCGCUGUAGGAACUGAGGUAAAGCCCUGCUUAAAUAUGCUGAUGCAGCUUUACGAUUACUAUCUAACUGGGGAAAGGUUACAAUGAAAGAAACUUAACCCUGAUAUCCCUUUCGUAGGCUGUUGCGAAGAAGUUGGCAGAGCUUAGCGGCAAGGGUGUCACAACCAUCAUUGGAGGCGGAGACUCUGUUGCAGCUGUCGAGAAGGUGGGAGUAGCUGAUGUUAUGAGCCACAUCUCAACGGGAGGAGGUGCCAGUUUGGAAUUGUUGGAAGGAAAGGAGCUUCCUGGAGUUAUUGCGUUGGAUGAAGCCGUUGUGACUGUAUGAAGCUAAGUUUUCAUUUUGUUUCACCUUCAUCUUCGUGGACCAAUGUGAACUUGGUACAUUCUUGCUUGCUCCUCGUCAGCCGUUCGACAUGUAAGAGAUCAAUGCUUUAUAGAGCUACUGGAAAUUGUUUGAAUAACUACACAAAUAAUUACCUGGGUCAUAAACUAAACCCUAAAGGGCACUAGAGCCUAUGUCCGGACCUGGCGCAGCGGUAAAACUCUCCACUUGUGGCUCGGAGGUCCUAGUUCCAACCAACCUCUUUGCAGAAUUUUAAACAAUUUUGCAAGGGUAAGGCUCUCUAGUUGCAGAAUUUUAAAAGAAUUUUGCAAGGGUAAGGUUGUCUAGAAAUUCCCUUCCCCUGACCCCACCUUGUGUGGGAGCUUUCGCACUGGAUACGCCCUUUACUUGGGAGCUUUUGUACCAGCAGGACCUGCUUUACUGAGCAAGGGUGUGAAUUUUGUUUUCUUUCUCUUUGCCAGAGAAGCAAACUUUAGGGCGCUACCCCUUGGAAGGUAGAUGUACAUUAUGGAGGUCUGCUACUCAAAAUUCUCGUGGAUCUCAGUCUGGAAUCAGGAAACUUAUUCACUCUCUACUUUUUGAUGAGCUUUGCUCUAAGAUGUCACACAUGUCUUUACAAGACGAAAAUGCAGAAGGAAUCCAGAAAAAAAAAA
rnacentral:lncRNA from 1 species